rnacentral:rRNA from 1 species
AGCAGCCGCGGUAAUUCCAGCUCCAAUAGCGUAUAUUAAAGUUGUUGCAGUUAAAAAGCUCGUAGUUGAAUUUCGGGGUUAGUAGGCUGGUCGUGCCACUGGUACGUACUGGUCUCACUGAUUCCUCCUUCCUGAUGAACUGUAAUGCCAUUAAUUUGGUGUUGCAGGGAAACUGGACUGUUACUUUGAAAAAAUUUAGAGUGUUUAAAGCAAGCUAACGCUUGAAUACAUUAGCAUGGAAUAAUGAAAUAGGACGUUCGAUCCUAUUUUGUUGGUUUCUAGGAUUGACGUAAUGAUUAAUAGGGAUAGUUGGGGGGCAUUAGUAUUCAAUUGUCAGAGGUGAAAUUCUUGGAUUUAUUGAAGACUAACUACUGCGAAAGCAUUUGCCAGGAUGUUUUCAUUAAUCAAGAACGAAAGUUAGGGGAUCGAAGACGAUCAGAUACCGUCGUAGUCUUAACCAUAAACUAUGCCGACUAGGGAUCGGAUGAUGUUAAUUUUUUAAUGACUCAUUCGGCGCCUU